GCAAUACCGACAUCUAGUGGCCGAUCCCCCCACACAACAACCAGCUCAGCCUUCAGGUGAUGUUAUGCGAAACCUUUUUUUCAAGUUCUGCAACAGCCCGGGGGUCUGUACUACGAAGCAGGACUUGCGGUUAUGGAGUGAUGGCACAAUUUCCUCCAGCACACCGAGGGAAGUGGAUGUAGCAGGAUGCGGGAUCCUAUUGACAGCUCCAGCCACCCAAACGCACAAUCGUCUCUCACCUUCGUCUUGUCCCUUGAGACCCAUCUAGAAUCCAUAGUGCCCAGGGUGAGGCUGGGAAGCAAGUGGUUCAGGACCUUCGCCAGAAAAACCUGCCAACA